UUAUUCCUACGGGGGGCAGCAGUGGGGAAUAUUGCACAAUGGGGGAAACCCUGAUGCAGCGACGCCGCGUGAGUGAAGAAGUAUUUCGGUAUGUAAAGCUCUAUCAGCAGGGAAGAUAAUGACGGUACCUGACUAAGAAGCUCCGGCUAAAUACGUGCCAGCAGCCGCGGUAAUACGUAUGGAGCAAGCGUUAUCCGGAUUUACUGGGUGUAAAGGGAGCGCAGACGGCAAGGCAAGUCUGAAGUGAAAGGCAGGGGCUUAACCCCUGAACUGCUUUGGAAACUGCCAUGCUAGAGUGCUGGAGG
rnacentral:rRNA from 1 species